UACGUAGGGAGCAAGCGUUGUCCGGAAUCAUUGGGCGUAAAGAGCGCGUAGGCGGUCCGGUAAGUCGGUUGUGAAAACUGGGGGCUCAACCCUCAGAGGCCGACCGAUACUGCCGGGCUAGAGUCCGGAAGAGGCGAGUGGAAUUCCUGGUGUAGCGGUGAAAUGCGCAGAUAUCAGGAGGAACACCGGUGGCGAAGGCGGGUCUCUGGGCCUUACCUGACGCUGAGGAGCGAAAGCGUGGGUAGCGAACAGG
rnacentral:rRNA from 1 species